rnacentral:rRNA from 1 species
CCCUUAGAUGUUCUGGGCCGCACGCGCGCUACACUGAUGAAUUCAACGAGCACUAACCUGUGCAGAAAUGUUCGGGUAAUCUUGUGAAAUUUCAUCGUGAUGGGGAUUGAUUAUUGCAAUUAUUAAUCAUAAACGAGGAAUGCCUAGUAAGCGUGAGUCAUCAGCUCACGUUGAUUACGUCCCUGCCCUUUGUACACACCGCCCGUCGCUCCUACCGAUUGAAUGUGCUGGUGAAAAGUUCGGAUUGGGAAUAGGAGACGGCAACGUAGCCUGUUUCUGAGAAAAUCUUUAAACCCUCCCAUUUAGAGGAAGGAGAAGUCGUAACA